UAAAAAGCCCGGAGUUGGAUCUGGGCUGGGACAGGCGGUAACUCGCCUCGCGGCAGACCGCCAGCUCGAUCCCAAGAUCCAACUACGAGCUUUUUAACUGCAGUAACUUUAAUAUACGCU